rnacentral:rRNA from 1 species
GACAGAGGUGCCGAGCGUUAGGCGGAAUCACUGGGCUUAAAGCGUGUGUAGGCGGGUCGUUAAGUGUCUUGUGAAAUCCCCCGGCUCAACCGGGGAAUGGCUGGGCAUACUGGCGAUCUUGAGCAGUCUAGGGGCAGAUGGAACAAGUGGUGGAGCGGUGAAAUGCGUAGAUAUCACUUGGAACGCCAACGGUGAAGACAGUCUGCUGGGGACUUGCUGACGCUGAGACACGAAAGCGUGGGGAGCAAACAGG